AGGGCAGAGGUGGGAGCCAUAGCAGGAGCAUUCUCAUCGUGGUCCCUGUCAGAUGUUUCAUCUGUGAAUCCUGCU
rnacentral:ribozyme from 1 species